rnacentral:rRNA from 1 species
ACCUUUUGGAAGCAGUCGUCGAAGGUGGAAUCAAUAACUGGGGUGAAGUCGUAACAAGGUAGCCGUAUCGGAAGGUGCGGCUGGAUCACCUCCUUUCUAAGGAGA